rnacentral:rRNA from 1 species
UACGGAGGGUGCAAGCGUUAUCCGGAAUCAUUGGGUUUAAAGGGUCCGCAGGCGGUCUUAUAAGUCAGUGGUGAAAGCCUACAGCUCAACUGUAGAACUGCCAUUGAUACUGUAAGACUUGAAUUCGAUCGAAGUGGGCGGAAUAUGACAUGUAGCGGUGAAAUGCUUAGAUAUGUCAUAGAACACCGAUAGCGAAGGCAGCUCACUAGGUCCGGAUUGACGCUCAGGGACGAAAGCGUGGGGAGCAAACAGG